CGUGCUUACACAUGCAAGUCGAACGAUGAAGCCCAGCUUGCUGGGUGGAUUAGUGGCGAACGGGUGAGUAACACGUGAGCAACCUGCCCCUGACUCUGGGAUAAGCGCUGGAAACGGCGUCUAAUACUGGAUACGAACAAGAAUCGCAUGGUUACUUGUUGGAAAGAUUUUUUGGUUGGGGAUGGGCUCGCGGCCUAUCAGCUUGUUGGUGAGGUAAUGGCUCACCAAGGCGUCGACGGGUAGCCGGCCUGAGAGGGUGACCGGCCACACUGGGACUGAGACACGGCCCAGACUCCUACGGGAGGCAGCAGUGGGGAAUAUUGCACAAUGGGCGGAAGCCUGAUGCAGCAACGCCGCGUGAGGGAUGACGGCCUUCGGGUUGUAAACCUCUUUUAGCAGGGAAGAAGCGAGAGUGACGGUACCUGCAGAAAAAGCGCCGGCUAACUACGUGCCAGCAGCCGCGGUAAUACGUAGGGCGCAAGCGUUAUCCGGAAUUAUUGGGCGUAAAGAGCUCGUAGGCGGUUUGUCGCGUCUGCUGUGAAAUCCCGAGGCUCAACCUCGGGCCUGCAGUGGGUACGGGCAGACUAGAGUGCGGUAGGGGAGAUUGGAAUUCCUGGUGUAGCGGUGGAAUGCGCAGAUAUCAGGAGGAACACCGAUGGCGAAGGCAGAUCUCUGGGCCGUAACUGACGCUGAGGAGCGAAAGGGUGGGGAGCAAACAGGCUUAGAUACCCUGGUAGUCCACCCCGUAAACGUUGGGAACUAGUUGUGGGGUCCAUUCCACGGAUUCCGUGACGCAGCUAACGCAUUAAGUUCCCCGCCUGGGGAGUACGGCCGCAAGGCUAAAACUCAAAGGAAUUGACGGGGACCCGCACAAGCGGCGGAGCAUGCGGAUUAAUUCGAUGCAACGCGAAGAACCUUACCAAGGCUUGACAUAUACGAGAACGGGCCAGAAAUGGUCAACUCUUUGGACACUCGUAAACAGGUGGUGCAUGGUUGUCGUCAGCUCGUGUCGUGAGAUGUUGGGUUAAGUCCCGCAACGAGCGCAACCCUCGUUCUAUGUUGCCAGCACGUAAUGGUGGGAACUCAUGGGAUACUGCCGGGGUCAACUCGGAGGAAGGUGGGGAUGACGUCAAAUCAUCAUGCCCCUUAUGUCUUGGGCUUCACGCAUGCUACAAUGGCCGGUACAAUGGGCAGCGAUACCGUGAGGUGGAGCGAAUCCCAAAAAGCCGGUCCCAGUUCGGAUUGAGGUCUGCAACUCGACCUCAUGAAGUCGGAGUCGCUAGUAAUCGCAGAUCAGCAACGCUGCGGUGAAUACGUUCCCGGGUCUUGUACACACCGCCCGUCAAGUCAUGAAAGUCGGUAACACCUGAAGCCGGUGGCCUAACCCUUGUGGAGGGAGCUGUCGAAGGUGGGAUCGGUAAUUAGGACUAAGUCGAAU
rnacentral:rRNA from 1 species